rnacentral:rRNA from 1 species
GCGAACGGGUGAGUAACACGUGAGCAACCUGCCCCUGACUCUGGGAUAAGCGCUGGAAACGGCGUCUAAUACUGGAUAUGUCCCGUCACCGCAUGGUGUGCGGGUGGAAAGAUUUUUCGGUUGGGGAUGGGCUCGCGGCCUAUCAGCUUGUUGGUGAGGUAAUGGCUCACCAAGGCGUCGACGGGUAGCCGGCCUGAGAGGGUGACCGGCCACACUGGGACUGAGACACGGCCCAGACUCCUACGGGAGGCAGCAGUGGGGAAUAUUGCACAAUGGGCGAAAGCCUGAUGCAGCAACGCCGCGUGAGGGAUGACGGCCUUCGGGUUGUAAACCUCUUUUAGCAGGGAAGAAGCGAAAGUGACGGUACCUGCAGAAAAAGCACCGGCUAACUACGUGCCAGCAGCCGCGGUAAUACGUAGGGUGCAAGCGUUAUCCGGAAUUAUUGGGCGUAAAGAGCUCGUAGGCGGUCUGUCGCGUCUGCUGUGAAAUCCCGAGGCUCAACCUCGGGCUUGCAGUGGGUACGGGCAGACUAGAGUGCGGUAGGGGAGAUUGGAAUUCCUGGUGUAGCGGUGGAAUGCGCAGAUAUCAGGAGGAACACCGAUGGCGAAGGCAGAUCUCUGGGCCGUAACUGACGCUGAGGAGCGAAAGGGUGGGGAGCAAACAGGCUUAG